rnacentral:lncRNA from 1 species
GGAACCUGGCAGCAAAGGUUCUUGGGAGGUUCUCAUCUGGUGCUGGAGAUGAUUGGCUCCCCCAGUCGGUGAGGAAGGGAUCCUCCUGACCCAGCACCUAGACCAACCUCUGUUGGAAGAGACGGAGCUUAAGAGGCAUCCUGUCCUCACCCACAAUCAUGGUGCUAAUCAAAAGUGACCUUUAGGAUGAUCCACUGGCUUUGGAACAACUGCCUGGGACAUUUCCUUCCAGUAUCAGGUAUCUGUCUCCAGCAAACCUGUGCAAGUUGAGUAUCACCAUCUGGUCCUGGAUGCAUUUUGUUAUCAGUGCUGGAAGUGAUGAUACGGUAUGCCGCUGUCAUGUGCCCAGAGGAUGUAGGGGCCAGAGAGGACACUCAGCAGAAGUUUCUGGCUCACCCACCGGAGAGGCUAAAGCUUGCCUGGAAUUAUAUUGCUUACAGAAUAAAGAGAAGUCAGAGCCUCUUAUGUAACUUGAAGAGUAGGAAAGAUCCAGUGAUAAAAACCAGCGCCCUGAACUUUUGCAAAGCACGAUCAAUCGCUGCGUACGAUCCUCCGGUCCUUGGCAAGAUCAUGAACUGGGAGCUGUGUGGAAAGACAACCGGAUUGGGAGCUAGUGUCCUGCCCUGGGUUUCUUCCAGGUGGCCCUACCACCCGUCAGCUGUCUGGUCUUGGGAGUCCAAGCGGGAGACGGGCAGAGAAAGGAGGACAGAGGAUCUGAAGCGGGCUCUGCGCUGA